AUUGAACGCUGGCGGCAGGCCUAACACAUGCAAGUCGAGUGGUAGAGAGAAGCUUGCUUCUCUUGAGAGCGGCGGACGGGUGAGUAAUGCCUAGGAAUCUGCCUGGUAGUGGGGGAUAACGUUCGGAAACGGACGCUAAUACCGCAUACGUCCUACGGGAGAAAGCAGGGGACCUUCGGGCCUUGCGCUAUCAGAUGAGCAUAGGUCGGAUUAGCUAGUUGGUGAGGUAAUGGCUCACCAAGGCGACGAUCCGUAACUGGUCUGAGAGGAUGAUCAGUCACACUGGAACUGAGACACGGUCCAGACUCCUACGGGAGGCAGCAGUGGGGAAUAUUGGACAAUGGGCGAAAGCCUGAUCCAGCCAUGCCGCGUGUGUGAAGAAGGUCUUCGGAUUGUAAAGCACUUUAAGUUGGGAGGAAGGGUUGUAGAUUAAUACUCUGCAAUUUUGACGUUACCGACAGAAUAAGCACCGGCUAACUCUGUGCCAGCAGCCGCCGUAA
rnacentral:rRNA from 1 species